CUCCGGGAAGAGCUGGAGUCAAGUUUCUCGUUCCCAUCCCGAACAAGCGAGUUAAGCCUGCUGGAGCCGAUGGUACUCGGGCGGGUAACUGCGUGGGAGAGUAGGAAGUCGCCGGGA
rnacentral:rRNA from 1 species